rnacentral:rRNA from 1 species
UACGUAGGGACCAAGCGUUGUCCGGAAUCAUUGGGCGUAAAGAGCGUGUAGGCGGCUUGUUAAGUCUUGCGUGAAAUCUCGGGGCUCAACCCCGAGCGGUCGUGAGAAACUGGCAGGCUAGAGUGCGGGAGAGGAGAGUGGAAUUCCUGGUGUAGCGGUGAAAAUGCGCAGAUAUCAGGAAGAACACCCGUGGCGAAGGCGGCUCUCUGGAACGCAACUGACGCUGAGACGCGAAAGCGUGGGGAGCAAACAGG